rnacentral:lncRNA from 1 species
AAUAAAGAAGUUUUGGAACUGGAUGGUGGCCAUUUUGUGUAGUGGGAGCUUCAAUCUUGAUGGUAUCAAUAAUGGAAGAAUGCCAAUUUUGGUGAGUAGCAAAGAUUUUAGGCAUAAAAGACUUGUCCAAAUGGACAAUGUAAGUAGACCUCUCUGCUGAGGUUCCUAAUAACAAAGAAGGACCAAAAAGACACCAAGAAAACAGAAGAAAAGGUACUCCUAACAUAGUUUUUUUCUCUACACUUUGUGUUAUUCCUUCUAUAACACAGCCUCCUUUAAAUAUACACCUUAAGAAACAGUCCUAGUUGACUGAUUUUGUGAAGUAAACUUGUUGGUAAGCUGUCAUUUUCUAAGACUUGUUGGUCAGUGGACCUGUGGAGACUUUUGCUAGUCUAAGUUGUGUGCUAACUGUGUUCACACUACACAGGAAGAAUGUUGCACCAUAUUUUUAAGUGUUCAAUUGAGAUUGGAAUAUAUAUCAAUCAAAAUACUAAUGAUUAAGUAACAAACAGUAUAUAGACAAAUAUUAUAUUCUUGUUGCUUUAAUGCAUGCACUAGAUAAAUUUUUCACAUAAAUGCUUAUAAGCUUUUCUUUUAUAUAUAUAUCUCCCUUUUUUUAGUUAUAUUAUAUUGUGAGUAAAUUGAGAAUCUUUUGCAAGUAAAAAGUUAUAUUUUUCUUUAAAUGACCCUACUAUAUUGUGAUUGAUUGGUAUGUCACAUAUCAAAAAAUGACCCUACCAUAUUGUGAUUGAUGAUUAGUAUGUCGCAUAUUAAAAAAUGACCCUACCAUAUUGUGAUUGAUGAUUAGUAUGUCGCAUAUUAAAAAAUGACCCUACCAUAUUGUGAUUGAUGAUUAGUAUGUCGCAUAUUAAAAAAUGACCCUACCUUAUUGUAAUUGAUUGGGAGGUACAUACUUUCUAAUUGUAUGCAUCCCCUCUCCCUCCUAUAUACACAGAGAGACUCUCUUUUUCUGUAUAUCUAUAUACUCAGUUCUAGUGGAGUAUAUGUACUAUUUUUGUACUCUUUUUUAUAUUAGUGAAUUCCUCAUACUUGAUCAAACCAUGUUAAAUUAUUGUCUCGUUUGAUAUAUUCUUUUUGUUAUUUCAUUUAUAUUUCGUACAAAAUUUGUAUUGUUAAAUGUUAGCUUCCACAUAACAUCUAAGUAUUUCAGUCCUAUUGUGUGAAUGUUGCUACUGAUUAAUGACCCCUAUUGCCAAUCAAACAUCUAUUCAACAAAGUCUUGGUUUUUUGGUAACACAAGAAAAUAAAACAUUAUUCAACAAUUACUUCAAACAUGCACAUGCUUUGCCAGAAUACUUCCAGCUACUUUAACAGAACCCUCUUGAGGAGAGUUACAAACUUACAAAUGCAACAGUAUUAUCAACUGCAGCAUUUCAGUUUGGGGCAUCAAUCAUUUUCAUUUGGGGCAUCAAGCGCUGGAGCAACUACUAUAGGACUUCUUACGGUGUGAUGACCGUUCUUUUCCACCCAAGUGAUUGAACCAGAUUGUGCUUGGUCAAAUUCAAUGCCUCUGUAACGUAUGGUAAGAGUGUAGUCCUGCUUCUGAUGUUUUUUCUCAAACACCAAGGUCUGUGGAGAGAUAGAAAUUGUCGAGUUUAUUGGUGCUUUCACUUUUACUUUGUACUUAGCUGCACCGGGUCCAACAUUUGUGACUGUCCUCGUGAAUUUCUGCUCCAACCAAGCAUAGUCCCCAUUUGGGAUAUAGAGAGCAAUAAAUGAUGGGUAAUUGAUAUCAUCGGAUGGAUUUGCACAGUUGUGCUUAGCUGAUGAUCUAGCAAUUGUCUUGAACUGCUUUUCUGUGAAAUUCAUGGAGCAGAGAAGAUUCACGUAGUCUUGUGGAGUUGCAUCAUAUAUCAGGCCUGGAUCAACUGCACGGUUUGGAUCAACAAGUCCAGCUCCCAUGGAUAAAGAUGUAGCAUAAUUGGUUCUGAGGUAAUCCAUGGUCUUGAUGGGCUUUUCAGUAUUAUCCAAAGGGCUUGCAGUGGUCAUCAUGGCAGAUCGAAUAGCUGAAGGACUCCAAUCAGGAUGUACUCCUUUUAGCAUUGCAGCAAUUCCGGAAAUGUGAGGAGCAGCCAUCGAAGUGCCUGAAAGAAGCCUGUAAUCACUAUCCAAAAAUGUAUUGACACCAAUGAUUGCAGCUGAAGUGUUCGAUGGCCAGGCUGCUAAAAUUAACUCCCCUGGUGCCAUAAUAUCUGGCUUUGCAACUCGUAGAUAGCUUAGGGAGGGGCCUCUCGAGGAAAAUGCAGAAACAACUGGAGCAGGCUUAACAGCAAAAUGUGUUUCCUGGAAACUGAUGCUGACUUUUGGUUUAGCACUUGUUUUUGCAUAGUCUACCACCUUUUCCCAAUCCUUGCUGCUAAUUACAGCUCCAGGAUUCGUAAAAUAAUUGGAUGUCAAUACAUCCGGAUCUCCAUAAACAUAGAGUGCGCCACCAAAUUUUGCCUCUGAGAUAGCCCCCAUUUGAUCAGAGACUGAUAAGUCUUCUUGUGCAGUGCUAUAACACAUCGUGAUGCUACGUGCUUUAUUAGGGACUUGGGCUAAAUCAUCAGAUGACUCACAAGCGGAUAAGCUGUCAUUGUAAACCAAAUCAAAAUCCUUUAUGGUGGUUCUCACUGGAAACAAGCUAAAUCCAGUAAUCUUUAAGCCAUUCCCAAAAGUUAUAGUCCCGGAAAAUGAUCGGUCAGUACUGCCUGAUGCCACAGUAAAGAUCCAGGGGACUCCAUUGGAUAAAGUUCCCAUUUCAGGACCAUUAUUCCCAGCUGAAGCAGAGACUAACACACCCUUCAUCAUGGCACCAAAAGAAGCUAUUGCAAUAGAAUCUUCAUACAAUGGACCAAAACCAUACCCAUAAGAAAUUGAUAGUAUGUCAACGCCAUCUGCAACAGCUUGGUCCAUAGCAGCAAUUAAAUCAGAAGUGACGGUCCCUUCUUCAAAGCUAAACUUAUAUACAGCAAUCCUAGCUUGUGGCGCAAUACCUCUUGCUGUUCCAGGAGCAUAUCCAAAAUAUGAAACUCCUUUAACAGAACUACCAGCAGCAAUGGAAGCAACAUGAGUGCCAUGACCUCUCAUAUCCCUUGCAGAAUUCAUGGAAAGAACAAUAGUAGGAUCACUAGCCAAAAGCCCCUUAUUGAAAUAAUUCGCCCCAAUGAGUUUCCUGUUGCAUAAAGAAGAAUUGAAAUCUGUUCCUGGCUUACAAAUUCCCUUCCACUUUUUUGGUAUUGCAGAUAGUCCAUCAUCUCUGAAACUAGCAGAUUCUGGCCAGACACCAGUGUCGAGUACUCCGAUAAUCACAUCUUCACCAAAACCAGACGCCGGCCAUAGCCCAGAAGCAGGAUUAAGCUUAAGAAACUCAGGGGAAUGUGUAGUGUGAGCUUCAACAGGCCUAUCUUUAUAAGCUGAAAGAAAGCCUGGUGACUUCUUGAGAGCUUCAAAUUCAUCUUUAGACAAAACAGCACUGAAUCCAUGAAGCACAUUGUCAUAAGAAUAAAGAAGCUUUGGAACUGGGAUGGUGGCUAUUUUGUGUAGUGGGAGCUUCAAUCUUGAUGGGUAUCAAUAAUGGAAGAAUGCCAAUUUUGGUGAGUAGCAAAGAUUUUAGGCAUAAAAGACUUAUCCAAAUGGACAAUGUAGGUAGACCUCUCAGCUGAGGUUCCUAAAAACAAAGAAAGACACAAAGAAAAGAGAAGAAAAGGUAGUAUUGUCUUCAUAGUU